CUACGGGCGGCAGCAGUGGGGAAUAUUGCACAAUGGGCGCAAGCCUGAUGCAGCCAUGCCGCGUGUAUGAAGAAGGCCUUCGGGUUGUAAAGUACUUUCAGCGGGGAGGAAGGAAGUAAAGUUAAUACCUUUGCUCAUUGACGUUACCCGCAGAAGAAGCACCGGCUAACUCCGUGCCAGCAGCCGCGGUGAUACGGGAGGGUGCAAGCGUUAAUCGGAAUUACUGGGCGUAAAGCGCACGCAGGCGGUUUGUUAAGUCAGAUGUGAAAUCCCCGGGCUCAACCUGGGAACUGCAUCUGAUACUGGCAAGCUUGAGUCUCGUAGAGGGGGGUAGAAUUCCAGGUGUAGCGGUGAAAUGCGUAGAGAUCUGGAGGAAUACCGGUGGCGAAGGCGGCCCCCUGGACGAAGACUGACGCUCAGGUGCGAAAGCGUGGGGAGCAAACAGGAUUAGAUACCCCUGUAGUC
rnacentral:rRNA from 1 species